ensembl:lncRNA LINC01320 long intergenic non-protein coding RNA 1320
CGACAUCAGUCUCCAGAGUGAAUCCAAGGAGUGGACCCAAGACAUUUGUGUUCUGUGAUGUGGUGGCAUGUUACCUGUCAUCUCCGAUGCAUAACUCCUAAAGUGCGUCUGGGGCAGUUGUACAGAUUGCAGAGGAUAAUACUCAAGAUGUUCUCCAAGGCCAACUAGUCAUCAGUUUAUUCAUGUUUCUGGGAUUGGAUUCAUGAACUCAUCCUUUGAACUAUUUCAACAAGCUUUUUCAUGUAACUAAUCUGCGGAAGGUAGAAAGGGGAAAACUGUUGGGUGCUAAAAUGACAACUGGUUCAAGACCCAAGUAGGUGUUCACAGUCAGUCCUGCAGGAAGAGAUUAGAGGAUCUAGUUACCCAGGGAUCAUCUCCAUUCCUUCCAACUGAAAGGGAAACAAACAAGGAGGAGCACGCCUGGGGAGGUUUUCACAGGCCAGGACUGGAAAUGCACAUUUCUCUUUUCCUCACAUUCCAAGCUCCCAAGAUGGUGGUGGGCCACUUCCAAGAUGGUGGCAAGAGUCGUAUUCUCUGACCUGGGGUUCUUGGUCUCAUGGAUUCCAAGGAAUGGAAUCUUGCGCCAUGUGGAGAAGCGUCAGAUAAUUAGGCAGCAGUCCAACAAUUAGGUUUUGUGGAACUUUUACUAUGUCAUCUAUUUAUUGGAAUUCCCCCUGGAUACCAGGACCCCCUCCAGCAGAGCUUAAAGUUAUAGUUACAGGAAGUACAAAUUCCUUAUGUGGAUCCCUGGAAGUGUGAUGAGAAGAACCACUGUUUCCAAGAUCUAUUUAUUCUAUUUAUCAGGCCUAUAAAAUCAUGUAAUGGCCAUGGCUUCAACUAGACUCCACAUCUUGAAUCACAGAACUCAACGAAUGGCAUCAACUACAAGCUGGUAUUCUGCUAUACAUUUAAGAGGCCAUUUUAAUAUUCUAUUAGUCUAGCAGCUUCUAAGUGAUGAGGGAUAUGGGGGGACUGGAGGAUCCCGUGCUCACUUCCUUUUCUGUAAAAGGAGCUCUUUGAUCCAAGGUGACAUGGUAUGGGAUCCAAUGACAAUAAAUCAGUUAUUCUGUGAACCCUGAUCAAAACUUGACUAAACUUUUGACAGUUAGGUUUUUUCCUGACCACAGACUCCUCACCUUUCUUUUCUUAGAAAAUUUACAUUGGAAAACAGAUGUAAAUUUUCUCCAGCCUCUUGCAAGGUUUACAGUCCAGGACUUUGAGGUCCUGGGAGUCAUCCUUUUGAAAUACAAUCAUCAAAGAAGAUAGUGCUCCAAUCUCCUAGUCUCUGUGGGAGGGUUGGAACCUAACUUCAGUAAACUAAUCACCAAUUAGCAAACACAGAGGGGCUGAUCAUACUGACCCACUUUCCCACUAAAAUGUCUAGUACUUUCCACCAGCUCACCACAGUGCUUAAAAACUCUCCUGUCUUUUGUUUUACUAGAGUUGAGUCCAAUCUCUUUCAUCUAUUGCAAUAGUGUUGAAUAAAGUCUUCCUU